CAAAGAGCUCAUGAACCUAUUCUAACAGCUUAUGCUCCCACCCCACUCAGAACACGUGUGCACAUGCACACGCACAAACACACUCUUAGCUUCAGGACACCCCCCCGCCCCCACAGUCAAUGAACAUAUAACCAGCAACUCCUUAGCUCCCAAGGGCGGCUAAACCAGAGAAAAGAGGCAAACAUUUGAAUGUCCCUACAGUGUCUGGAAAUCGUGCCGGUGGAUGUUUUGGGUGAGAUCCUCUCCUUCACGGCAGGUGACUUUGGGCUAAGUGAAAAUCCACAAUGCACACAGCCAUGAGUGACAAACCACCCAGAAAGUUCCUCCAGGAUCUAACUGUGAACAGAUAUUUCCCCAUCCUGUAAAGAGUUUAAAUCUGAGCCUCGCCACUCCCCUGACUAGGUUAGCCUUUGUCAUUCCAGUCAUUUCUUCUGGGGUCACUUCUCCGAGGUCUGUAGUUUGUACCCUGCCUGCCCCUCAGUUCUCCAGCUAUUAUUCCCUCCCUGCAAUUCCACCUCCUACGUGCUGACCCACAGCCCUGGCCAGAGGACCCUGUCUGUGUUCCGCAGCCAGUCACUCUCCUUGGCCCCGAGGUCCGCGAUCUCAGAUGGAAUGUGCCACCCGUGGCCACUUGCAUGGGCAGGAUGAAGUACGAGCUGCACUGCUUGCCUGACCCCGCAGAAGAGGCCUGUGUGAUUACGGAGGAAGGAAAGAAGAGGAGCAUGGCGAGAUGCUCACUGUGCCUGCUGACCACAGGAACAAAAGAAGAAGCCUUCUCUUUCCCAGGUGUUCAACAACUGUUUAUUGAACUCCCACUGUCCUGUGCACAGGAUAAGAUCAUUAACGUAGUCUUUACCUCAAAAAGUCUUCCGAUUCAGUACUGGAAAUGAGAUAAGGACCUGAGUGGCUAUGAUACAAGGAAAAAAUGGGUAGGUUUCAUAAAGAAAAAAACAGAUAAAAUGCUACCAAGGCUCUAAAGGGAGGGGGACAUGUCACUAAGAAAGGAAUGAUCAGGAAGGUUGUGUGGAAGAGGUGGAAUCAGGUACGCAGCCCUCAUAGGGGGAGAAAGUUCUCACAGGUAGAGAUGGCGAGGAGGGGAAGAGAUGGGGGACGGUUUAGCCAGAAAGAACAGAAACAGUUACAAAGCAGCACUGCCCACAAGAACGUCCAGCAAUGAUGGAAAGGUUCUUCAUCUGUGCAGUCCAGCAGGUAGCCACAAGCCACAUGUGCUUACUGAGCACUUGAAAUGUGGCUGGUGUGACUGAGCAAGUGAAUUUUACAUUUUCCUUAAUUUUAGCUAAUUUAAGUUUAAACAGCUGCAGGUGGCCAAUGGCUGCUGUGCUGUGCAGCACAGGUUAGAGUGUGCACGAAGAGUGACAGGCAGAUUUGGCCUGAAUACUAGGAAGGAAAGAGGAAAGGUCGAAAAGGCAGCCGAAGCCCUUUCGACAGGGUCUGGGGUGCCUGCUGAGGAACCUCUACUCAAUUUAGCAGGCAAAGGGAAGCCCCAAGCGUUUUGAGCUGAGGAAAAAAUGGCUAGAACUGUGCUUUAGAAAAAUUAUCUGACAGCAGUAGGUCUCCAACGUGUUUACAAACAGGACUGAAGGAAAGCACUAAGUGGGGAGGGCGAUGAGGUGGGAAGAUGGGGUAAGAGCUAGUCAGAGUCAACAGGUGGAAGGUACUUAGCGUACUUAGUGCUCAAACUAGCACGUGACCCACAGUAACCAUGGUAACCCACAGUAAGCCAACUUCUGGACAGGUGCGUUUAAGGCUCUGGAAGUGUAAUCAGGUGAGGAUGUCACCACACUGUUGGAAACACAUGUGAGACUCAGGAGAGGGUCCUGGUGACACAGACAGACUGGGAAUCAUUUAUCUGCACGCAGGUGACAGGUGAAGCUGGAGGAGCAGAGGACAGAGCAGAGAGAAAAGGCUGAUGCAGAACUGGGGGAAAACCCAUCUUUAAGGGCCUGGAGGACAAGGAACCAGAGGAGAGCAUUACAUAAGCAGGACUGUGCUGUAUCACAGGCAAGACAGGAGGAGAGAAUUUCACGAAGGUAUUUAACAGUGGCAAAUGCUGCGGCAAGACUGAGGGAAAAUAAGACAAACCAUAAAGUGGCUGGCGACCUUCGAGAGAGUUCAGGAAGUGGUGAGGGCAGAUCUCAGAUCACAACAAAGACAAGAAGGCCAGACUCAAUUUCUCUUUCAAGGAGGUCCAGGGGUGAGGACGGACUCAGUGAGCACCCACCCACUCUGAGCAGGCCUAGCAUCUGGCACUGGGGUGGAUGCUGACGCUGCUCCACAGAGCUACGGUCCAGAGGUGGACACAGACAAGUCAAUGGCAGUUCCAGUCCUGUCUAUGAACGCUGCGAUCAGGGAAGUACAGUGGGCUCUGGCAGCACACAAGAAGGCACAGAGGAUCAGAACAAGCUUCCCAAAGGACACAGCAUUGACUCAAGGAAUGAAGGUGACCUGAAGGACGUGAGUCAGCAGGCAAAGCGAAGGGGACAGGGAGGGUGUCUCAGGCAGGGAGCACCGUGGCACACUGAGUAAGUUUAGUUCAGCUGAAGCAAAAGCACAAAGUAGUGAGCAGUGAGAAAUCAGACUGGAGAGGUACAGAGGCAUCAGGGCAUGCAGGACUUAUAAAGGCUUGGGAGUUUAAAACACAGAACAGACAGGAGUCACUGUGCUACGACAUGGAUGACCCUUGAAAACACUAUGCUGGUCACAAAAGAUUACAUGGCGUAUAAUUCCGUUUAUAUGAAACGUCCAGAAUAGGCAAAUCCAUAGAGACGGAAAGUAGAUUAAGUGGCUGCCAGGGGCUGGGGGAAUGGAGGAAUUGGGGGGUGAUGACUAAGGGGCACAGGGCUUCUUUUUGGGGUGAUGAAAAUGUUCUAAAAUUAACUGUGGUGAUGGUUGCACAACUCUGAAUAUACUAAAAAGCACUGAAUUGUACACUUUAAAUGGAUGAACUGUAUGCUGUAUGAAUUAGAUCUCAUUAAAGCUGUUACAAGAAAAACGAAGGCAAAUAAAAAAAUGUUUUAAAGCAAGCAUUGACGUAUUCUAGGCAUGGAAAGACAAGGUCAGAAGUGCAGGUUCUGAGCACACUAGCUGCAGCACACUGAAUGCACUGGGCUGGGUAAGACCCGAGGCAGGAAACCACACCCACAAUCUAAGUGUGUCUGUGGUGCUUUGGGAGGAAGACAGACAACGGGAGCGGCAGCCUGAGGGGGCCCCGGGGUGAAGGCAGGCGGCUCAGACAGAGGAGAGGAGAACAUGCUGGAAAGCAAAGGGGAGACACCGAGAACGCAAGGGCCCAGAGAAAACCCAUCCAGGGAGGCCCCUGACGAGGAGGGGGGAAAGCUGGGUGGAGAGUUCAGCAGGAGAGCUUGAACCCCACUGGGCUUCAAGACCCUACACAACAUGCCUCACCUACUUCUCUUCAGCCCCAUCCCACGUCCUCCCUGAGCUCCGGUGCCACUGCCUUCUUUGUUCUCUUCCGUCUCAGGACUCUAGCUCAUGCUGUUUCCUCUGCCUGGAACACUCCCGCCACCUCCUCAACUGGCAACUCCUGCUCACCUCCAGGGCUCAGCCUGAGAGUCACUUUCUCUGGGGGCCUUCUGCCAUAGACUGAAUGGCUGUGGCCAUAGACUGAAUACAGCACUCGUAUGUUCAAGUCCCAACCUCCAAUGUGACGGUGUUCGGAGGUGGGGCCUUUGGGAAGUGGUUAGGUCAGGAGGGUGGAGCCCUCAUGAAGGGACUAGUGACCUUAUAAGAGAGACCCCAGAGAGCUCCCUAACCCCUUCCACCAUAUGAGGACACAGUGAGACAAUGGCCGUCUAUGAACCAGGAAAUGGGCCCUCUUCAGACUGCAAAUCCGGUGGUGCUCUGAUCUUGGACUUCCCAGCUUCUAGAACUGUGAGAAAUAGAUGUCUGGUGUUUAAGCCACCCAGUCGAUGGUAAUUUGUUAUAGCAGCCAGAAGGAACUAAGACACCUUCCCUGACUUCCCAACCGAAAUUACAUCCUCCCUGCUAUCCUCUCUCGGAGCAUCCCAUUCUCUUCCUCGAUACUCAUCCCAUUAGUAACUACAUAUUUCCAUUCCAUUGUUUAAUGGCCCCUUCCUCCAUGAGACUGAGAGCCCAGCAGAGGCAGGAGCUGGGUCAGCCUUGCUCACCCUGUUCUCAGAGCCCAGCAGAGUACCUGGCCCCCUGGGGACCCUCUAGAUAGUGUUUCCGAAUGAGUGAAGGAAUGAAUGACUGAAUGAAUAUGGCAGAGUGAAUGACAGCCAACACACUUCAUCCCCCUAACCCUGGACCAUCCCUGAGAGUCAGGCCUUUGGUUGAGACAGAUGAGAGGACAGGAAUUUAGUCCAUUGUUGGCUCCCGGGAAGGUUUUAAACCCACUAAAGCCAGGGGCUUCUCUAGUCAGAAAGAAAGCUUCUGCCACGUAAGUAAGAAGUCACUCGAGGGAGGGUGGGGGGAGGUGAAGUCAUUUGUAAGGACCUUGGAAAGAGCAACAGGAUGAAGGACUGCAUCUUCUAACUGCUCAGGAUUUGGGAAAUUCUAAAGUAGCAUCGCAUAUGGAAACGGCAGGAAAACACGGAAGCGAAGCAGGCACCAGUGUGAGAACUUUGAGAGCUUCAACUCAGGAUUUGGGCUUCAGGGCAACCGUCAACACUCAGCCUUCAGUGGUCCAUUAACAUGGGGACAUUAUCAAUAUUUCUUACUUCUAAGGAGCACCAGGCCAUUUUUUCCCAAGAGAAAACAAUUGUAAAAUUAUAUGUGAGUUUGUGUGUGUGUUUAUGCAUUUCAGAUUUCUUACUAAACCUAAUGUAAUAAAUGGAAAAGGGUUGUAAAUUCACAAGUGUGUGGAAGAAUGAGAAUAACCAUGGAGAAAGAAAAAUUAACUUUCAUGGGAAAGCAGGAUGCUAAUAAACAAAACUGAAAAGCAUGGUCAAAAAGCUCCUCAGGACGGACCACCUCACUCCAGGACAGGACGCAUGUUUCAGUCUUAGAGAGGAAAGUCAUUUCUGGGAUGAUUGUAGAAUGUACUGACAUUCAGCUUCAGCCUUGAACUUCAGCCAAAUCUGCUAUUUGGCUGUGGCUCUGGAAGGCUGAAUAGACAAAUGCCUCCCUCAGCAUCAUUCCUGGCAUCCCUGGACCUGUGCGUGGUCAGUGGUCCUGGGAGUAUGUGUGAUUCUAUCACAUCUGAUCAGCAUCAUGACCUCAGAAAUACAAACAAGCCAUGUCAUCUAGAUUUACUGUUAAUAUCAGAAUAUUCUCCUUAGCUAACAAUGAAGAUUUGUUCCUGCAUUGUCAAACUUUUAAAAUUUGACCACUGAAAUGUUAAAUAUUGAAAUUGUGAUAACUUAAAAUUAUGAUAAAUUUUCGGAUUUAUUCUUA